rnacentral:rRNA from 1 species
UACGGAGGAUGCGAGCGUUAUCCGGAUUUAUUGGGUUUAAAGGGUGCGCAGGCGGGUCUUUAAGUCAGCGGUAAAAUUGCGGGGCUCAACCCCGUACGGCCGUUGAAACUGGAGGUCUUGAGUGGGCGAGAAGUAUGCGGAAUGCGUGGUGUAGCGGUGAAAUGCAUAGAUAUCACGCAGAACCCCGAUUGCGAAGGCAGCAUACCGGCGCCCGACUGACGCUCAGGCACGAAAGUGCGGGGAUCGAACAGG